AUAUAUAUUUAUGAAGUGCCGGUAAAUCUGAUGAAUGUACAAUCACAUUAUUUAUCAGUACAGCUGUAUCCCAGGACUCAGUGAGUGGAGAAAAUUUUUAAAUAAUUAGAAAAUGAAGGAGAGCUGUUUAUGAUGAUAACAGAACUGCAGGAAAGGUGGACUUAGCACGGUUUUAGAUACUUGGAAAACAUCGCAGUGGCAAUAGUAGAAAUAAGGAAGUAAAGAUGGUGAAGAUCAGGCUGCAGAAAGUGAGGCUAGAGCCAAUCAAAUAAUGAAAACAUAGGAAUAAGUGGGCACGAAGAAGCAGAGGACAGACUGGUGAGAAACCUAGGGACAAGCACUGAAAGACUGAUGAGGAAAACAGACUCUGGGCAUUGUUACCAUGUGACAGAUUUGCAACUUAAGUAAGAAGACAGGAUAAGGCUGAUAAAAACAGAUCUGCUUCCAAUUUUUCUAUAUAUUCAUUACAUAUGGCUUGGGCUAGAAGAGUUUAUCAUUCUGUUCAUACAGAAUUUGUAUGAAUGGCUUCAUCAAAGAGCAGGGGCCGAAGACUCUGAAGAAGGGCUUGUUAUUUACAGCUGGAUGGAAGAAGAGCCAGACAGGUUCAACACGGAAUCAUUGUGCAGUUGGAAGCCAGGGCCGUUUGGUACUCUCACAUUUCAGUGAGUAAGAAAGGGUAGAAAGCUGUAUCUCCAGGAAAAGUUCCAAAUGCCACAUGCCGGAAGACUGGCGAAAGGGGAUUUUCCCUUCUAAGGUGACCUUUUCCUGACGAGGGAAGGCAUAAUCUGAGAAGAGGUAAGGAAGUUCAAGGAAGGUGAAACGAAGGUCAAAUUUUGAAAACGAAAGAUAAUUCUGGGGCCAGAUGGCUACAAAAAGAGAAAAAGGGAUGAUUCAGAGUCAUGUGGAAAAAAAAGGAGGAACACAAAGGAAGACUGCUCACUGAGGUUUGGCAUAAGGAUUGCGAUGCAGGAAAAUACUGAAAAAAAGAUGCUGGGAACAAGUUUGUAAGUAGUUCCAUUGAGGGGCAACGGGGAGUUUGUUGGAAAUGGGAAAGAGCCGUAAUAGACUAUGUGAACAUGCAUUUUUUUUUAAUCUAGAAAGAAAAUAAAAAGAAAACUCUUCAAGCCUAAGGUAGGAUAUAAAAGUGCUUUGAAUCAUUCUAUAUAAAGGUAAGUUAUUAUUAUAGACUGUUUAGUUGAACAUUUCCUAACAAAGAACAACCAAUCCAGGAUUUAAAGAGUAAGACUGCAUAGUCUGAAAGAAGAAUUAGGUUCGACUGUAAAGGAACCAGUUGAUGGUAGCUAACCAAGAACUCUUGAUCCUUCUGAAAAAUUUCAAUGACAUGACUGUAAGGUUUGCCAGCUUCCUACUGUUCUCUGGUUGACCAGCUGUUGCAGGCUUGCAAUAAAGAAAUCUGAGCUUACGUAAGAGUUUAUGAGAAAACAGGUGGGAGAGAGAUGCCACUGCCCAGACCAGAGGCAGGCAACUUUUCGGAAGUGGAAUGCCAAGUGGCUGGCUGACCGUGGCUCUUCAGGUCAGUGGUGAGGGGUGGGGCCCUGAGGGGUGAGGAUACUGGUAAGUAUCCUUCUAAUAGCACCUCAAUCUCCUGUUCAAAAUGUGCUCUCAAGCUUUCAUAUUCUGUUUCCAUCUUCCUUCCGACCCUUGUUUCCUAAGGUAAAUCCUGUUAGGGAAAGCUAAAUCCAUCUGGCCUUCACCUGUCUGGGUAGCUACAUCAGGUUACUCUCUCUAGAGCCAAAGCCGAGAGCAUUUGUCCUGCCUAGACUGCAAGGAUUUCCCCGGGAAACUGAGGAAGUGGACACCAUCAAGGAUGGUGCAUUUGAAGAGAGGACAAAACCUAGGCCAGUAGAUAGUGGGAUAUGAGGAUCAUAGGACGCAGGGAGAGAAGGCACAGAAAGUGAGGGAAGCAUAGAGACAGGAGGUGAGGGGGAAAAACCUGUUUGCAACGAAGACAAGCCCCAGGGGUGGUAAACGCUCUGGAUUUACUAUGAAGUGACCUUGGGAGAAACCUGAAGCCAAAGACCAAAGACCAUGGUUUGCCAAUGUGUGGGCCAGCCAGUGACCUAAAAGCCCUGGUAGGAAUUGCCAGUUAGCACCAAGCUAAAAACCUAGCCUAAUCAUGGACCAGCCAGGCAGAACCAAUAAAGGUGCCAUUUGUGAUCAUAUCUGAUCCUCUGAAAGCAUGUAAUAUAUCUGACCCAGGGAUUUGGGGAUGAAAAGAACUCUUAGCAGAAUAUACAUUUCCUAUUUAUUGUUACCUUUUAUUUUGACAGUAAAACUAGAGGAGAGUAAGUUGUUGAGUAGAUUGCUCUUAAAAGAACACAACCAACAGUUGAAACUUGAAUUAGGAAAUUAGGGGCAUAACCUGAAACAUACCAGUAUUACCUAAUAUCCCACAUAGGUCCAUAGAUUACAAGCCCUUUCUUUUUUCCAUUUUAUUUCCUCCUGGGAAAACUUAAAUCCAUUAUUUUAUUACUCUGUGUAUCAAGUCACACUACCUCAUAAUUUUCUCAAAUUCACUUUUCUCUGAGCUUUAAAGGGGAGGUCUACCAUUCCAAUAUUCCAUGGGGUGACAGAUAGGUUUAUAAUUUCCCAAUCCAUGUUUUUCCCCCAUAUAAUUGAGACUGAGUGCAAAUCUGUCUCCAUCUUGAAGGUAUUUCAAGGACCAGAAAUUCUACAACAAUGUUGAUGUUUCCCUCAAGGGCCCGAAAUUUCAGGUUUUAAAGUCCCAUUCAUCUUCAGUGAUUACAGGAUGCAGUAGGAGAAUAUGUAGGGUCUUCUAUUUUUAUACUAAGACUUUUAUUGGACUGAAUUUCAGUCACACAUUCCUGUGUUUGACAACCAUAACCUCUUCUCUUUUCUGAUUCUAUGGAAAUUACACCCAAAGUUCUGGGGCUUCUAGAAAAUGUGGCUGUAAGAAUUUGCCUUCCUUUGCAACUCUGGUCCGUUUGUAAGCCAUAGCACAUCCAUCUGAAUUCAGCUGCCUCAGGGAAAAGGAGCCAUUUACUUCUGUCCCUUGACCCUUUGGUUGUGUCAGGUGACAGGAAGUAUUGUCACAUCACUGUCCUGGAGGCAGAUUGGACCUGCAAGACUUGAACCUGAAAAAGCCUUUGGAAUUGUUUUAUUGAAAUGUGAUUUUUCCACCUCACACUGACUGAUUCCACAUCCCAGAUACGCAAUUACCCAUUUGUCACAAACGGCUCCAGUAUCUCAGUUGUAAAAAUCCAGUUCAGUGGUGUUUCUUUUUCUAUUUUUACACUAAGUACUCCUCUUGGCAAUGUAUGACAUUAACUAUUGAUGGAGUCCUUCUAGACUUGGAGAAAGAAAGGUUUUCAAGAGAAUAACCCAGAGGGGUGAGGGGAAGAAUCACUAGCCAAGUACUGAUCAGAAUCUGGUGCUCAGACCUGCCCCAGAUGCACACUGGUUGUGACUAGGUUUUCUUGUUGUUAAACCCUCAGCAUUACUGACAUUUUGGGUGGGGUGAUUCUUUGUAGUGGGGGCUCUCCUGUGCAUGAGAAGAUGUUUAGUAGCAUCUGUGGCAUCUGCCCACAAGAAGCACCCUACACUAUUCCACCCUGGGACAACAAAAAUAUCCCCAGACAUCACCCUGGGCUGCCAAAUCAUCUUUUGUUGAGAACCACCUUCUUAAAUAUUAGUUUCUUCAUCUGUAAAGUGAAAGUGAAGAGCUGCUGUUGAUUUAAGGUGGAAUGAUGCAUUCAAAAGAGUAAUGUGCUACAUGAAUAUAAGGUAUGAUUAUUUAAUAGACACAUUUCUUUGUUCACACAUUGAAUUUUAGAUAUCUUCACAGGUAACAGAUUUGGCCAGUCUCAGCUGACCAAUGAAGUUGUAUAGCAGAAUUCCAUCCUCUUUACAGCUGCAAAAUCAAGAGUUAAGAAUUUAUAGAUGCAUUGAUGCUUUAACCCUCUGCAUAACCAAAGAAAAGAUUCAAGCACCAAAUGGGGAUUUGAUCAAUUAGGUUUAUUCUAACUUUGAAGAUCUUUGAAAAUAAAGAAAUUAGAGUGGGAUUAAUACUCCUAGAAUAAUAAACAUCCAUUCCCUAGAAUCAUAAUAACUCCCAGUUAUUAGAGUAAAAUUAAUUUCCUUUUAAAGUUACUGGUUUUCUGGAGAACUCAUAUGCUAUAGACAGGUCCUCAGAAGCAAACUGCUCAGAAUGGAGCUGUAGACCUCUGGUUGUUCUGGAGAUGUUAAUUCUCCACCUUUGCAAAGAGUUAAGGAGGUGAGAAGGCAUAGCAGGGAAGCAGACAGCAUAGAGGAAGGAUGGCCAAGGUGCUCAAAUCAAGAGCAAAACCUAUUGCUUGGUAUAGUUAAAUGGAUGAAAGAAAUCUGAAAUCUGAAGGCAAGUCUGUGCAUAGUAGCAGCAGGUACCACACGAAGGCAGGAAUUCCUGUUCUGGAGGGAACUUUGAGUAUACUGACUCCAGGUCUUCAUACAUUUUGCUGGGAUCUGUAACUUCUAACACUGCUAUGAAAUCUUAGAAGUUAGAAAAUUUUCCUGGAGUGCUCUGUAGUCAUUCAUCUUAAAAAUAAUAGGAAUUAAAAAAAAAUCUCCAUGCUAAAAGAGGUGCUUUGCACUCAAUUCUGUUCUUUUAUUAAUUCUUCACAUACAGAGAGAAAGACUGCUAAUACAGUUGUUAGAUGUCUUUGUUUCUUUGUUGCAAGUCAUGUUUGCAUUAUGUCAAGGUUAUAAAAGAAUCAGCAUCAAUCAACAAAACAAGUUAAGAGAAAAGAUGAGAAAGGUUUAAAAAUGAGUAUCUUAUUGCUGGUAGUGAUGAUUGAAGUAGAACAAAACAAGUUGUUGCAUUGGAAAGCUGAGGUCAUGGAAGGGAAGGAAAUCAGCUGGAAAAGGGGGCCUGGAUUUGAGUUUUCUUAACUCCUCUAAAUGGGAUAUUAGCACAUAAAUCCAGAGAGGUGGGGCAAUGAUGCAAAGACUAGAAACUCAAAUUAUUAUUUUCCCCCUCAUUUUAAUCCUUUAUCCAUCUUCUCAAGUGAUAUUUACUUCAGCUGAAUGUAGUAUCUAUAGUAAAUGCACACUUGUACCACAUAUAUUUAAACAACUUCAGUUUUCUUUUAAUUGACAACAUUGGAGCAUUGGAG